GAUGAAGAACGUAGCGAAAUGCGAUAAGUAGUGUGAAUUGCAGAAUUCAGUGAAUCAUCGAAUCUUUGAACGCACAUUGCGCCCCUUGGUAUUCCAUGGGGCAUGCCUGUUCGAGCGUCAUUUGUACCUUCAAGCUCUGCUUGGUGUUGGGUGAUUGUCUAUCUUUGUAGACUCGCCUUAAAGUCAUUGGCAGCCGGCAUAUUGGCCUGGGAGCGCAGCACAAGUCGCGCUUCUUGUCAUGAAUGUUGGCGUCCAGUAAGUCUACAUAUUUUGCUCUUGACCUCGGAUCAGGUAGGGAUACCCACUGAACUUAAGCAUAUCAAUAAGCGGAGGA
rnacentral:misc_RNA from 1 species